UGCCUCACCCCAACAGAAGUGGGAACCCAGUCCCAGUGUGUCACAUUCCGAGGAGCUCCUUGGUGAUGCCUGUCAGGCAGCAGCAGGAAAAAUUGGAGCUGCAAGAGUGUUCAGGGCAAUCCUGCUGCCUGUGGAGCCCUUGAAAUGGAUCUCCUUAUUCAUCCCUAUGGAAUCCAGGAGGAGCCUCAUUCUCCAGGGUGAAAUAUAUUCAGUUUUGUUGAUCUAGACAGAAAAAGGAAAAAAAAGUCUUAAAGCACAGCUGAUACAUUUCUUUAUAUACUCCUUUUCCUUGUAAAUUCCUUUUCAUUGUGAAUUAAAGACCAGCUUGUAGACUUA